CAGAGAUUAUUUUGUUCCUAAGCAACUGAAUAGUUGAAGGGGCAAAGCUAAGAUACCCAUAGAAUCUCUACAAGAACUUGUCUGUCUUACACCGCUCUGAUAUCUAGCACAUAAAGUUUGAGUAAAUAUUGGUUGAAUGAAUGAAUAAAACUCAGACCGUGAAGAGGUCAGGGUGGUCUACCAGAGAGUUAGGAGGUAGCACACUGGCAAUGUUACUCUGGUUGCUAUGGAAACUGUUCAUCAGAAGCUAGUGCUGAAGACCAGGGGAAGAUGGUGGAAACAAAUGAGCAGUGGUGGGUGCAAACUCUGGUUACCAAUCCAGAGGAGCAGCUUGGAAGGAGGUCUCAAUGGAGUCUAUUUGAGAGAACUCUGACUAAUGCAUCUUCGAACCAAGAGAGCAAUAGAAAAUGGUGCAGAUUUCUCAGAAGUUUAAUCUCAAGAAACCAUCACUGAAAUCCACUCUGGGCAGCAUAUGAUCUCCACAUACACUAGGUAACCAAGGUCCAAAGGAUGGGUCUAGGAAGUCAGCAGAAUGUGAAUAUGAAAUUCAUUAAACUCCAAGACAAAGCUAAAAUUGGUGAUGCUGAACAGUAUUUCACUUUCAAUACGACUAUGAUUCAUGAACUUGACAACUUUUUGAGAAAUUAAGUAUAUGAUUGCCCAGUGAGAAUUUGCAGGUUGUAUAGUAUGACCCCAUUAUUUUAUAGCCAUGAAAAUUGCCUGAUUUCAUCAGCAUUCAGGAGCACUACCCAACAAUAAAUAGUCAGUAGAAAGCUCUGGGAUGUAGCUG
rnacentral:lncRNA from 1 species